GGUCAUCCAAUGCCUUAGCCAUUAAGUAAAACUGAUGUACAUGCAAUAAUAGAAUGUAAACUUGGUAGCUCAUUCAUAUCAAAUUUCAUAACAUGAAAUCUAAUUUUGUCAAAUCAACCCCACCAAAGACCAGAGUGCCCCUUUCCCUUGGCUUGUUAUUUUAGAGCAGCUCUUUCUGUAAUUUCUGUAAUUUCAUUUUAAAGAAAUUACAGUGCACCCCAUAAAUUAAUUUUCUUAGUAGUCAUCCCAAAUGAACCUAAAAAAGAAAGGGCAAAAUUAUGACCUUGUCCAGGAAGUUGCAUUUGGUUCCCACUUCACAGCUGUGGCAACUUUACCUAAUGAUGAUAUGUAUCAGGGCUGCGCAAGUACUUCUCAUAGAGCCACCGGGAAAUAAUCAGAGCAUUUCCAUUGCUGUCCACUGGGAAGUUGUUCCUACUUUUCUGCCAGUUAUUUGUGAGCUUUAUCCACUCUCUCCUCCAAUCCUUCAAUGGGAAACCAUGCCCAUUUUCCAAACUUGACAUUAAGUAUUUAAAGUAGAUAGCUGCUCGGGGACCAUAGUAAUCUAGCAGAAGACCACUCCAGUACUUGUUCCCAUAGUCACGAAGAAGACUCGCCUCAUCCUCUGUAUUGUCAAACCACAUAGUUAUCUGAGUUCUUGCAUUCCAUUCAAAUUGUCUUUCUUGUUCUUUGUCUUCGGCAAGUUGCUUUGCACUUUCUAACCAAGGUCCUAGAAGAAACCCCUCAUGGCAUGCUAAGAGCGUGUCCAUGUCUUCAACAAGAUCCAGAAACUUCUGACUCAAGUUAGCAACUCCAUUGACAUCAUUUGACUGAUAGGAUUCAAUGAUCUUCAAGAACAGCUCAUUUGCAUAUUUUGCCAAAGCUUGCCUUGUCAGGUCAACCAAGUCAUAGCUGUAAGUGUUGCUUCCUGAUAGUUCCUCCCCACUUGUGAUGAAAAAUUCUAAUGCACGUAAAAAUUCAGAGGUUGAAUACCAUAGGUGAGGAUGAUCAUAUGAAUCAGAAUUUUCUUUUAGGACUGCCCUUCUUGAUAUUGGUUUGCCAUUGUGGUGAUACCUCUUGUGCCGUAAUGAGAUAAGGAAAGGAUCAACAUCGGGGAAUGCUACAAUUACAUCCCUGUUUUUAUCCUGCUACAAUUAAAGUUACAUAAAGUUUUUCACAGAAAAACACAACUUUGAAAAUGGACUGGACACAAAUGCAAGCAACUGAGCAACUGGAUGGAUAAUUUUAAUCCGCAUCACUGCUGCAUGAUAUUUAUGCAACUCAACACUUCAUAUAGAUAAUGCAAAAAGGUGUUAAAUGUAACAUAAUAUGUAAAUAUCCUUAAAGAAGAUGAGGGAAGUUAUAAACAAGACAAGACAUACAUGAGAUGUAUACAAUAUGAAUUUAUAAAAAGGGCAUCUAAAUGCGCAAGACUUUCAGCAUUGCAACUCUGCAAUGGGUCAAAUGUACACAAGCCUCUCCUGACCUUGCAAAGAGGCCGUUUAUGUGGUUUUAAGCUAUGACCUCCCAAAUCUCAAUUGAAUUUCCAUAAAUAUGAACAAGAAGUCCAGCUUAUGCACAUUUGUGGAAGUCCAAGAAAUAAAAGGCAAUAAUUGCAUGAUAAUAAACACUAAGAGUUCAUUUAUGUCAUAACAUGAGGAAAAAAUUUUGGUAUUCAAGGGUAAUGCCUUGUUGAAUAUAGAUCCAUCCAUGCUUGGAAAAGGAGGAAUUAGUGACAAUUCCAGGUUUGAUCUUCCAUAUCAAUUGAUUCGUUGUUACAUUCAUUUUCAGAAAGAACAACUAAAAAGAGAAAAGAAGGAAAAGAAUGAUUAUUGCACAAUUGACAUAAAAGAAGACACUCAGAAGGUGAAUUAACAUAGGUUGAAUUUUCAAUAAGCUCAGAGAUACUAAAAAACCAGUAUUUUUUUUCUUUUUUUUGAGAAAAUACUACCUGUUAAAUGAAAUGUUGCAGGACUAAUCACUGACAUUACUAUUACUGUUAGCAGGGUUUCAAACAAUGGUAUUGGUCAUAGAUUAAGCCUGAAUCAGCUGUUGCUAUAUAAAACUAUGGUCUUUACAAUAUUGGCAAAAUGACUCAAAAUCAACAUUGGACCAAUAAUUUAAUAAAAUAUAUGGUAUAUCAAUAAAAUGAACACCUAAACCUUAUUUUGCUUAAAGGUUACCCUUCUAAGUAAAAAACGAGGUCCAAUGUUAAGAAAUUUUGGUGCCAGGGAAAGUUUUUUAGGUUAGGAAGAAAGAAAAGUGAGAGGAGCUGGUGGGUGAGUUGUAGCAGGUGGUUGCCUAGAAAAGCAACAUGAGUAAAACAAAAACCAUAGUUAACACUUCUAUUGCGGUAACAGAAGCAAAAUGGCCUGCAAUGGCUGUUGUGGCCAAUAAGGCCAUUUUAAUAAUCAGCAUGCUUCAAAAGUCAUAGUCAUGGAUCAGUAAAUAUUGUUUUGCCCCCUUCAAAUUCCCACUAAUGGACAAUAUUUAAUAUCCUGGUGCUUAGUGAUGCAUUCAGUAGCAGAAAAAACUGGUCUUGGACCUUCUAAAUAAUAACAGGAUCACAUUGCCUAUAACUCAAACAAGAAGCUCAGAAACCUUAUUUUUGAAACGUGCUGGUAAAAUUCACGGUUCAAGUCUAGUAAUGAAAUCCUUAAAAGUGUAUAUAUGAAAGAAAAGUGAAAAUGACAGUUUACAAGCUACACCACUGGAAAAGACAUGGGAUCAGAUGAUGACCUCCAAGUGACAAAUAGAAGGACGCUUCUCAGUUCUCUCAAUUGCAUUUAUAUAAUGUAAACAUACAUGAAGAAAAUAGGAAAAGUUUUGGGCUCUAAGAUUGCAUUUAUAUAAUGUAAACAUACAUGAAGAAAAUAGGAAAAGUUUUGGGCUCUAAGAAAAAGCUUGACGUUACCUUGACAUCAACUUUAUUAUGUUGAAAUGCCAUUUCAGACAUGAUAUCAUGGACAACAGGAUUCUGUUCUAUACCUUCCAUUGACAUUCCAAUACCAACCUUCAGAGAAGGAAAUAUAUAGACUAAGAAAAAUAAUUGGAUAAGAUGUUAAGAUAAUUAUUGUUAUUAACUAGUACUAGUACUCAAACAAUUAAUUACUUUAGAAGAGAGAGAGAGAGAGAUUUUUAUGAAACAUAACUAGUAAUCCUGCUUAUUUGGAGGCAUCAGCAUCAAAGACACCAGUGAAGGACAUCUUUACACAUUGUAAAUAGGUAGAUUCUACAUACAGAAUUAGAACUUCCCUAUAGCUUUACUCUAUGAUAUGACAGUCAAAAUCUUAUUCACACUCUCAGAAAGUGAAAUUGAAGAUUGCAUACGGCACACCACAAGGAAAAUUGCAAGAGGAAUCUGCCAUUUUGGUCAGUAAAUUAUGCACAUACAACCUCCGCAUGAUUUAUUGGCUUAAGCAAAGCUCCAAUUCAUCAGUUCAUUCUUCAUUCCAUUGUUGAGUUUUCACUUGUUCGAGCUUCAACUGGCCCAGAAGCUAUUGAGUCUAAAAUCCCAUACAUCUCUAUAUUUCCUGCAAAGUUGUGUAGCAUACACCAGAUGUAAGGGACACCAUAAAACUGCUCAGAUGUAAUCCAUAUAGGUUUCACUUCAGCAAAUAGAUCAAGGACCACCAGCCUCCCCACAGGAACAGAAUGUAAAAGUGCCUUCAUUUGCGGAGGUCUCCAGAAAGGAUCAUAUGAGAACAGCCACCCCUGUAUCAACCAGACAGCAUCAUUAUCACCACUUUGCAUUCCCUUGAAGACUGCUGCACCUAACACAGAGAUAUAAUCUGGCUCAUCAGAAGGUGGAGUGUUCUCAUCAAAAGUGUCGCAAUUGUAUAUGUGCCCUGUCCUUCCAUAUUCUUUUAUUUGCUGCUCAAUGAAUGCUCUUCCGAUCUCAAUGAACAACGGAUCUGUUGCAUCAAGAAGAUAAGUGCAGCACCAUCUAAGGUCGCUCUUAACUGAAAACCAAUUUCCUAAGCGUGCUAUCUUUGCUGAUGGAAAUAUAUUUGCUAAUGCUGCAGGAACAUUUCCAGAGAAAGCCGGAAGUACUGGAUUCAUUCCAAGUUCAUACAUUCUGGUGAUAAUUUUCUUCUGCAGGAUUAGUUGUUGAUCUAACCAACUUUGUGGUAGUGGGCCACCCCAUCUGUGCAAAUUUCCCAUUCGUGACCACGCGAGAAACGCAGGCCCUCCAAAGAAAUCAUCUAAAUCCACCUCGCUUAUAUUAAAUUUCUUGAAAACUUUUUGCCAAAUAGCCUCUUGCCCAGUAAAUGCUAACGGCAAAUUGAUACCAUGGAGAGCCAUCCAAUCGAUUUCCUUUUCCCAUCUUUCCCAGUCCCACCAUGCAAAAGUAUAACUAGAUGUAACAGCAUUCUGGUAAUAAUUCCAAGGAAUAGGUCUCUGAACCAAGAUACCAGUAUCUUGAACACGAGGAAGAGAGCCUAAGUUAGGUAUUGAAUUUAGUUGAGCACCACCAGUUUUUUCCCAAGAUAUAUGCGAACCACACCAAUACUUCAAAUACCAAUGCAAACCAGCUAAGACUUCCACUCCAGUGACCCCUGAAAUUAGAAUUUCUGGAGCUCCAGGCCUAGUAAAAGAAGGAUGAUUUUUUAUAAUAAAGCAUGAUUCCCCGCCACAUUGUUCCUUGGAGACAAUUCGAAACUCGAAUACCGAAGAAUAAGACGGAAGCAACCUUCGAAGAACGCCACGAGCUGCGGCUACUUGGACUGAGGGAGAAGCUCGCUCACGCUCCUGAAUUUCCAGAAGGCGCGAAAUGUAAUCGACGCCGAUCGUUGAUGAGUGAGCCGUUGAGAGAAUAGAGAACACGAAGAAGACGAGAGAAAUGGCGGGAAACAGAGAAGCCAUCGAAAGCGAUGAAGAUGAAGAGAGAGAGAGUGAGAAACCCUAGAAUAGGUGAAGAGAAGGAGAUUGGUGAUGAGGAAAGGACAUUCUAGCGGUGAGAGCAUGGGACAAACUUUCGAUGGCCGGCGAGAGAGAGAGAGAGAGAGA
rnacentral:misc_RNA from 1 species